UCUCUCCAAGCGUUUCUCUUCCAAAACCAAGCGUGCUUCGCCGCCGCCACAAAUGGCGGCUUCCACCUCCCUCUUCUGCCGUGACUUCCUUUUUCUACUCUUCCGAGAGCUCCACCUAUUUCUCCUUGGUUCUUGACCUCUACUUUAAUGGCUGCAUUCUAAGCCAUAUCCAAAUUGAGGAAUCACAGAAAUGGCAACCAGAGGUCCAGAAGAGUAUUCGCCAACAAUUAGAGGAUGACACCCUCUUGGUUAUUGGCUGGGGAACAAGCUAUUUCAUCUCAGGAAUUGCCCCCUUUGGUGAUGCUUUGGUUGUUCUAGCUUACAUUCUUGGAGAAGAUGAUGGAGAAAGGAAGAUAAAGAAUCAAUGGAAGAAAUAGGGGACAUUAAAAAUUCCAAUACUAUUUCACUUGAAUUAGAGAUUCGAGUAAUGAAGCUAGUGGGAGAAAGAGAAGUCCAGCAACCAAAUCUGAUGGUAGCUGUGUUAAGCAACCAUAUAGGAAAUGAUAUGAAUUUGUUUUUAGGAAAACCAAGUUGUAAAAAAUGCAUGACUUGAACAGCCAAUAUCAAAGUGACAUGGACUCCACAAGUUCAAAAACAUUAGAUUUAAAUUGCAGUUUAAGCUUUU